AUGGGGCGACGGGGCGGACAGCGAUGCCGGCGUUCUUCUCGAGCGAAUUUGACCUCGACCUCGACGGGGCAACGAGGUGGAAAGCGUCGCCGGCUUCCUCCUCCGGCGAAUUCGUUUGUCAGUAUAGCUGAGUCACCGCCCGACGCCGUUCUCUACUUAAUCCAUCGGACGCCGAAAGAAACCCUAGCUUAUUAUACCACAUGUAGAUGUGGCAAGGCUAUUUGUGCUCUAAGAAAACCAAGUUGGCUUGGAUCCCGGAAGCCCCGCUCGAGUCAGGUUGCGUGGAUAGAGAAGGGGCAGGCUUUAGGUCAACGGCCGCGCCGCCCGGCCCGUGGUCCAUACAAGCACGCUGCCGCCUAA
rnacentral:rRNA from 1 species